UACCAAUGUAAGGUGUGCCACAAGUU
rnacentral:piRNA from 2 species